GUGGGGAAUCUUAGACAAUGGGGGCAACCCUGAUCUAGCCAUGCCGCGUGAUCGAUGAAGGCCUUAGGGUUGUAAAGAUCUUUCAGCUGGGAAGAUAAUGACGGUACCAGCAGAAGAAGCCCCGGCUAACUCCGUGCCAGCAGCCGCGGUAAUACGGAGGGGGCUAGCGUUGUUCGGAAUUACUGGACGUAAAGCGCACGUAGGCGGAUUGGAAAGUUGGGGGUGAAAUCCCGGGGCUCAACCCCGGAACUGCCUUCAAAACUCCCAGUCUUGAGGUCGAGAGAGGUGAGUGGAAUUCCGAGUGUAGAGGUGAAAUUCGUAGAUAUUCGGAGGAACACCAGUGGCGAAGGCGGCUCACUGGCUCGAUAUUGACGCUGAGGUGCGAAAGCGUGGGGAGCAAACAGGAUUAGAAACCCCGGUAGUCC
rnacentral:rRNA from 1 species